AAGAAAACUUUUAAAUUGAUUUGAAUUAUAAAUUUAAAAUAUUAUUAAAAAAAUAACAAAAUAAUGUUUAAUUUCACUUAACGAGGUUAGAUGGCAGAACGGGUUUGAGUCGAUAGUAAUAUGAGACGAUAAACCACAGGUGAAAUCCAUUAGAUAUGUUUAAUUUCACUUAACGGGGUUAGAUGGUAGGACGGGUUUGGGUCGAUAGUAAAACGAGACAGUAUACCACGAGUGAUAUACAUUAGAUAUUUUUAAUUUUACUGAACGGGAUUAAUGGUAAGACGGAUUUGGAUCGAUAGUAAUACGAGACGGUAUACCACAUGUGAAAUCCAAGAUAUAACAAUCAAAAUACAAUUAUUUUAUCUUAAAUAGUAAACAGAACAAACAAUAUUAACAAAAUAAA
rnacentral:sRNA from 1 species